UUCAGGGAUAGCUCUGCCGGUAGAUCAUGAGACUCUUAAUCUCAGUGUUGUGGGUUUGAGCCCCAUGUUGGGUGAAA